GCCCGCCUAGCUCAAUCGGAUAGAGCGUCAGACUUUUACGUUCGUCUAUGUAGAUCCGAAAAUCUGAAGGCUGCGAGUUCGACCCUCGCGGUGGGCU